rnacentral:rRNA from 1 species
CACAAGCGGUGGAGCAUGUGGUUAAUUCGACGCAACGCGAAGAACCUUACCUGGGCUUGACAUCUGGGGAAUCUCAUGGAAACAUGGGAGUGCGGAGCAAUCUGAACCCCAAGACAGGUGCUGCAUGGCUGUCGUCAGCUCGUGUCGUGAGAUGUUGGGUUAAGUCCCGCAACGAGCGCAACCCUUGUCUCUAGUUGCCACCAUUCAGUUGGGCACUCUAGAGAGACUGCCGGUGAUAAACCGGAGGAAGGUGGGGACGACGUCAAGUCCUCAUGGCCUUUAUGCCCAGGGCUACACACGUGCUACAAUGGAUCGUACAAAGGGUCGCGAACCCGCGAGGGGGAGCCAAUCCCAAAAACCGGUCCUCAGUUCGGAUUGGAGUCUGCAACUCGACUCCAUGAAGUUGGAAUCGCUAGUAAUCGUGGAUCAGCAUGCCACGGUGAAUACGUUCCCGGGCCUU